rnacentral:rRNA from 1 species
AUACGUAGGUGGCAAGCGUUGUCCGGAAUUAUUGGGCGUAAAGCGCGCGCAGGCGGUCCUUUAAGUCUGAUGUGAAAGCCCACGGCUCAACCGUGGAGGGUCAUUGGAAACUGGGGGACUUGAGUACAGAAGAGGAAAGCGGAAUUCCACGUGUAGCGGUGAAAUGCGUAGAGAUGUGGAGGAACACCAGUGGCGAAGGCGGCUUUCUGGUCUGUAACUGACGCUGAGGCGCGAAAGCGUGGGGAGCAAACAGGAUUAGAUACCCUGGUAGUCCACGCCGUAAACGAUGAGUGCUAAGUGUUAGGGGGUUUCCGCCCCUUAGUGCUGCAGCUAACGCAUUAAGCACUCCGCCUGGGGAGUACGGUCGCAAGACUGAA